UUCCGCCUCCAGCUCUCUCUGCCACCAUGACGCGGGGAAAACAGCCCGAAGUUGCCAAGAUGGUGACCUCAACCCCAAUUAAGGGGAAGGGGGG